rnacentral:lncRNA from 1 species
GAAGGAGAGAAUUUAUGAUUCUCUUCAUCAUGUGAGGCCUCAAAUAAAAAUAUUCACAAAGAUGAGUGUAUAAACAAUCCCAGUCCACGAAUAGGGCUACAAUUAGAUAAGAUCUGACAAUUGGAGCUGACAAUUCAUUUGUUGGAUACACACAAGAAAAGAAAGAAAGAAAGAAACAAAGAAAGAAAGAAAGGAAAGAAAGAAAGGAAAGAAAAGAAAAGAAAGAAAGAGAAAAACAUCAUCUAAGAAAGAAAUGCAAAUUGUUCAAACUUCACCUGAGAUAGAAAAGCAAACUGUUCAAACUUCACCUAAUAAAGAAAUGCAAAAUGUUCAACUUUCAAUUAUGAACAAAGAGCA